rnacentral:rRNA from 1 species
CCUACGUGCGGCAGCAGUGAGGAAUAUUGGUCAAUGGGCUUACGCCUGAACCAGCCAAGUCGCGUGAGGGAAGACUGCCCUAUGGGUUGUAAACCUCUUUUGUCAGGGAGCAACGCCGGCUACGUGUAGCCGGACUGAGAGUACCUGAAGAAAAAGCAUCGGCUAACUCCGUGCCAGCAGCCGCGGUAAUACGGAGGAUGCGAGCGUUAUCCGGAUUUAUUGGGUUUAAAGGGUGCGUAGGCGGAAUGCCAAGUCAGCGGUAAAAUCGCGGGGCUCAACCUCGCUCCGCCGUUGAAGAUGGCGUUCUUGAGUGGGCGAGAAGUAUGCGGAAUGCGUGGUGUAGCGGUGAAAUGCAGAGAUAUCACGCAGAACUUCGAUUGCGAAGGCAGCAUACCGGCGCCCAACUGACGCUGAAGCACGAAAGCGUGGGUAUCGAACAGGAUUAGAUACCCGGGUAGUC